ACAAAGUAUGAAGAGAAUGUCGGGAGAGGAAGUGGUGGCUCUGAGUCAGCACGAGUCAUCUGGUUCCAGUGACAAUGAAGACUGAGGUGUCUGCUUUGCAGUUUUUUUUUUUCUUUUCUUGUCUUUUUUUUUUUUUUUCCUAAUCAUGUGGACAUCUCUGAGAAUGAGGGGACUGGGUGACUUUGCAGUGUCUGCUUUCUAAGUUUCAAAGUGACUUUCCAGGCAAGCUGCGCAUAUCUUGGGAUCUUCACAGCACAGUGGCUGGGAAGGCAGGCGGACCCGUCUAUCAGCUUCUCCCUGGUGGGAUUCUUGCGGGGGCAGGGAUCGAGUCAAACCUUGGAAAUGACGUCAUUCUGAACUCAUCUGCCUUUAUCCAGAAGACUACCAAAGCAAACCAGAGGACCAGAGAACAGCAGCUGCUCUGGACAAAGAGGGGAGGACACCCACACCCACAUACCAAGUUCUGGUUGACUUCUACAGCAGAAGAAGCAGGAGACACAAGAAGGUAGCCACUCCUAUUCGUGGGGAGGGACCAGGUUUCAUAUGGGCCUUUUCUUUGGUUGGAACAGGAGAUGUUCACGAUGGAAGAAAACAGAAUAAUUCAGUAAACACCUCGACCCACAUCCCCCAAAUAAAUGAUCACUUUUACAUGUUACGUCCCCAUACCAACUUUGAAAA
rnacentral:lncRNA from 1 species